rnacentral:lncRNA from 1 species
CUCUGAUAUCAACCUCUAGAUGUCUUUCAAUUACAUUCAGUUUAGUGUGGGUUGAUGUUUGAUUGUUGUACAUGUUACAAUGAGCAAAGCCCAUACCGCAGUCAGCUAUAAAAGGCCCUGAUAAGACAAUGUAAAACAAUUCAAACGAGAAAACUAACAUGUCUGUUUAAGGUUACAUCAUCAAAAUAUGUAGGGUAGGUAGGUAGGUCGGUAUUUUCUUUUUAUUAUUUUGUCCAUUUUAUUUUUUGUGCCAUGAUUUUGAAUUGUGUGGUCCGUCUUGCAUGGUCCGAGUUGUCCAUGGGGCGAGAGUUCCCCUAUUUAUAAUGAUUGGAUUAUUUCUUACGACGGCAAUAAAAUGGCUUAGGGUGGGUGCUCAAAAUAGGAUCGGUCAGGUACCCGUAAACAAACAUAUAUUUUUUUGGCCUUACCGAGAGCACCAUUGAAAUAUAUACAAAUCACGGAUCGGAUACGCAUCAACUAUGUAAGACCUAAUUUCAACACCCCUAAACAGUGAAUAUUUUUAUCGCAAACAGUAGAAUUUUAUUACAUAAUCUGAAAG